rnacentral:tRNA from 1 species
GGGGAUUUAGCUCAGUGGUAGAGCGUUUGCCUAGCAAGCACAAGGCCCUGGGUUCGGUUCCCAGCUCCG